rnacentral:rRNA from 1 species
AGCGAUGGGGUGCGAAUCUCGAAAGCCUAUCUCAGUUCGGAUUGGAGGCUGAAACCCGCCUCCAUGAAGUUGGAUUCGCUAGUAAUCGCGCAUCAGCCAUGGCGCGGUGAAUACGUUCCCGGGCCUUGUACACACCGCCCGUCGCACCAUGGGAGUUUGUAACGCCCAAAGUCGGUGGCCUAACCUUUAUGGAGGGAGCCGCCUAAGGCGGGACAGAUGACUGGGGUGAAGUCGUAACAAGGUACC